rnacentral:lncRNA from 1 species
CUUGGCAACCAAUGACCCUUUCUUUGUAAACAUCUCAGGACUCACCCUCCUGACUUCCCCUCGGCACCAUCUUUAACUGGCUCAUGUGCCCUUCAAAGGAGUUUACUAGAGUUACUUUUAAGAGCAUGGAUGACUCAAAGAGCCUUGAUGAAAUCCACGGGAGGGAAAACUGGUGUGAACUGAUGUGAAGGCAUCAAAAGGUUUGUGUUUGUUGUUGAAGAUGUGAUCUCUUGACUUCCUGCUCCUGCCACCGUGCUUGCCACUUGCUGCUAUGUCCCUGGCCAUUAUGGACUCUUCUGGAACUGUAAUCCCAAAUAAAAUAUUUUC